rnacentral:rRNA from 1 species
CCUACGGGUGGCAGCAGUGGGGAAUAUUGCGCAAUGGGCGAAAGCCUGACGCAGCGACGCCGCGUGAGGGAUGAAGGUCUUCGGAUCGUAAACCUCUGUCAGCAGGGAAGAACGGUCCCUGUGCUAAUCAGCAGUGAAUUGACGUUACCUGCAAAGGAAGCACCGGCUAACUCCGUGCCAGCAGCCGCGGUAAUACGUAGGGUGCGAGCGUUAAUCGGAAUUACUGGGCGUAAAGCGCUCGUAGGCGGUAUGUCAAGUCAAGGGUGAAAUCCCCGCGCUCAACGGGGGAACUGCCUUUGAAACUGGCAGACUGGAGUGUGGGAGAGGAGAGGGGAAUUCAAGGUGUAGGAGUGAAAUCCGU